rnacentral:rRNA from 1 species
UUUAGCCAUGCAUGUAAAAAGUUCAACCUUAUGGUGAAACUGCGAACGGCUCAUUAUAGCAGAUAUAAUGUACCGAGAUAUCUUAAUGGAUAACUGCGGUAAAUCUGGAGCUAAUACAUGCAAUUAAAGCUAGGUUCGUCUAGCUGCAGGUAUUAUUUCAAACCAAUCGUCUUCGGACGUAGUUUGUUGACUCUGAAUACCCAGUGUAUCGACGGUUUAUCUGUCGAAAACUCGGAACAGUGUCUGCCCUAUCAACUAGAUGGUAGUCUAUUAGACUACCAUGGUGAUAACGGGUAACGGAGAAUAAGGGUUCGACUCCGGAGAGGGAGCCUUAGAAACGGCUACCACAUCCAAGGAAGGCAGCAGGCGCGUAACUUAUCCACUACUUCAGUGAGAUAGUGACUAAAAAUAAAAAGACCAUUCCUAACGGAACGGUUAUUUCAAUGAAUUGAGCUUAAAUAGCUCUAUGAUGACCUAGUGGAGGGCAAGUCUGGUGCCAGCAGCCGCGGUAAUUCCAGCUCCUCUAGUGUACAUCGAUAUUGCUGCGGUUAAAAAGCUCGUAGUUUGACCUGAGUUGCAUGUGUUGAUGCUCCUUUGGGGUCUAUCUUCACUGUAACUAUUACUGUUGGUUUUCUAUAGGUGGCUUCGGUCCCUAUAGUGGCUAACGAGAUUACUAAUACGAAAUCAAAUAGCUUAAAUAAGGCGAUUGCCUGAAUGCUCUAUAUUGGAAUAAUAGAAUAGGACUUCGGUCUAAUUUAUUGGUUCUUAGUUCGAAGUAAUGAUUAAUAGAGACGAUUCGGGGCUGUUCGUAUCAUUACGCGAGGGGUGAAAUCCGUUGACCGUAAUGAGACGUCCAAAAGCGAAAGCAUUCAGCAAGAACGUCUUCAUUAAUCAAGAACGAAAGUCAGAGU